UCAUAAGUUAUAUAUAUGAGCAUGGUAGUGAGAGGGGCGGGGGUUUGGUCAUUUAGUUGCCCAAUUUUGUGCCUAAAGCCUAUCAUUUGUUUCCCCUAGCUACUUACUUGAAAAUGUACCCAAAUUUGACCCGGUCUUAUAGCAUUAGUGAUAUAAUUAGUAGUUUAUGAGUUUGAAAUAGUCAUGGUUAGUGUAUUAUCGUAUUGUGUGAUUGAAAAAAAAAAAAGAAAAAAAAAUGAAAAAAAAAAAUGAAAAAAAAAAAAAAAAAAAAAAGGUUUCAUUGUCUUGUAUAUAGUAGUAUGCAUUGUUAGUUGUUUUUGGUAGUUGUAAUAAAAAGACCGGGUCGAAUUUUCGCUACUCAUAUAUAUUCCAUUUCCUACCCAUACACCUAGCCACAUUACAACUUUUAAGCCCCUUUUGAUUUGCAUUCAUGUUUGACCCGUUAUAGGAGGAUAGUUGAUUCAGGUACAAGCUUAUGAUUGCGCAACCACCCGUUUGCCUAGUGUGUGUCUAGCUUAUCUUUGCUAGUUUCCACUUGUAGCCGAGAGGAGAGAAAUUGUGAGGGGUGUAUUGCUUGGGGCAUUAAAAAGGGGGUUGGUAAAGAAAUUGCAUGAUUUGUUUGGCUGAUUUGAUCACUUGUUUCGAAACUAUGUUGAUGAGUUGCUUGGGACAAGCAACGGUUAAGUGUGGGGAUGUGACGGGUGGUCCUUUGGACAACCCUUAAGUGUGUUAAAACAUGAAAUAAUCCUCCAUUUAGCCGUGUAAUUAUCUUGAAUUAGAUAACUACGAUGCUUAUGUUUCAGGUGCAAAUUAGGAGAUAAGAGAUGGAUAAAAGGCAGCUUAUGGAUGCUUUGGUGAAAACGGGUCGAGAGAAAAACACAAGACAAAACAAAGAAGUGAAGGCAGCUUGGUACCGUAAAUUACGGUACUGCCGUAAUUUACGGUGACCCAUUUUCUCAUUUAUGUUGCACCGUAACUCAGUCUUGAUUCACCGUAACAAUCUGAUGGCCACCGUAAAUUACGGUGGAGCCGUAAUUUACGGUGGUGCCUGAACGUGAAAUGUGUAACUGCCACAAUAUACUCGUUUUUUGUGUGUCUUUUGGUAUUAUCUCAUCAUUGACGGUUCUAAACAUUCGGUUUGUGUUUUUAAUUCGUAUGAACACUAGAUUAAUGUUGAUGAUGAUUCACCGAGCCAUGUCCGGCUAAACUCUUCGGUGAUCAUCUUAGGUGAAUGUUUCUAAGACUUUUGUGUGUUAAAUUUCUGCAUUUCUAGAAUGAUAUCUUGCGUUGCUUGAAUGUCGUGGUUCUCGAUCGUACGUUCUUGGUGCCGUUGGCAACCGAGAUUUCACGGGAAGGGUUAG
rnacentral:lncRNA from 1 species